CGCGUAGGCGGUAAGAUAAGUCGAGUGUUAAAAACCCGAGCUCAACUUGGGGGUGCAUUCGAAACUAUCUUACUAGAGUACAGUAGAGGAGAGCGGAAUUUCCGGUGUAGCGGUGAAAUGCGUAGAUAUCGGAAGGAACACCAGUGGCGAAGGCGGCUCUCUGGACUGAAACUGACGCUGAGGCGCGAAAGCGUGGGGAGCAAACAG
rnacentral:rRNA from 1 species